rnacentral:lncRNA from 1 species
AUAGAUACCAAAGCAUCAAACAGCUGGUUAGUCGGGAGAUCUAUUUACAGAAACAGAAGGGUUUAUAAUAAUGAUACAGGACCAGGUAAUAAACACUAAAAACUACAGAAAAUACAUAAUGAAGGAGAGCACAUUGACAAAUGACACUUGUAGGAAAUGUCACAUAUCAUCCAAAAGGAUUCAACAUGUUAUGUCGGAUUGCAAGCUGCUUGCACAAACAGAUUAUCUGCACAGACACAACCAAAUAGUAAACAUAAUACACCAAAAGCUUGUAACCAAACACAAAUUAAUAAACACACUCAUACUAUAUUACAAAUACAUACCAGAUACAAUCUUAGAAAACUCAACACGCAAGAUGUAUUAUGACAG